AAUUUUAUAAUUAUUUAUAAAAUUUUUAUAAAGAAAUUUAAGGUUAGAUUAUUUUUUGAAUUAAUAGUUUUUAUUAUAGAUUAAUAGUAUAGUAAUAGAAUUUUGUAUUUAUUUAAAAGAAGUUUUUAUUUAUUGUACCUUGUGUAUCAGGGUUUAUUAAUUAGGUAUUUUUUAUAAAAAAAUCUCGAUUUGAGAAGAUUUAAUAGGUUAUAUUUUUUUUUGUUUAAUAAAGACUAUAAAUAAUUUAUUAGGGGUGAAAUGUUAUUCGGUUCUCAUUGUAUCUAGUUCUUAAAGAAAAAAAUUUAAUUUUAUGUAUGUAAAUAAUGAUCUAUAUUUUUUUAGUUAAUUAUUAUAUUUAGUUAAAAAAUUUUUAGGAUAAGCUAAGAAUUUAAUUUUUAUAAUUGAGGUUGAAUUUAAAUUUGUAGGAUUGAAAAUUUUUAUCAUUUAGUAUGUUAUAAUUAAUUUAAUAAUAUAAAAAUUUAUCUUUAAUUUAAUUUUUUUAUUUAAGUUAUUUAUUUAAUUUAGGUUUAAUUGUAAUAAUGGUAGAAUUAGUAUAAUUUUUUUUAUUAAUAAUUAAAAUAUUUAGGUAAAUUUUAGGAAUUCGGCAAUUAUUUUCUCGCCUGUUUAAUAAAAACAUGUCCUUUAGAUUUGAUUUAAGGUCUAACCUGCCCAAUGAUUAUUUAAUGGCCGCAGUAUUUUAACUGUGCAAAGGUAGCGCAAUCAUUAGUUUUUUAAUUAAAAGCUUGUAUGAAUGGUUGAACGAAGGAAAGACUUUCUUAAAUUUAUUUAAUUAGAAUUUUAUUUUUAAGUUAAAAAGCUUAAAUUUGUUUAAAAGACGAGAAGACCCUAUAGAGUUUAAUAAUUUAUAUUUUAAGUUAAUUUAGAAAUUAUUAAUUUAAUUUAUUGUAUUAUUUAAUUGGGGUGAUUACAAAAAUUGAGAAACUUUUAUUUGAUAAAAUCAUAUAUUAAUGAUAUAUUGAUCCAUAUUAAUGAUUAUAAGAAUAAAUUACCUUAGGGAUAACAGCGUAAUUUUUUUUUAGAGCUCUAAUCGAAAAAAAAGUUUGCGACCUCGAUGUUGGAUUAAAAUUAAUAUUAGGUGUAGGAGCUUAAUUUUUAAGUCUGUUCGACUUUUAAAAUUUUACAUGAUCUGAGUUUAAACCGGUGUAAGCCAGGUUGGUUUCUAUCUUUAAUAAAAAAUUAUAUUUUAGUACGAAAGGAUUUGAUAUA
rnacentral:rRNA from 1 species